GACGAACGCUGGCGGCGUGCUUAACACAUGCAAGUCGAACGGAAAGGCCCUGCUUUUGUGGGGUGCUCGAGUGGCGAACGGGUGAGUAACACGUGAGUAACCUGCCCUUGACUUUGGGAUAACUUCAGGAAACUGGGGCUAAUACCGGAUAGGAGCUCCUGCUGCAUGGUGGGGGUUGGAAAGUUUCGGCGGUUGGGGAUGGACUCGCGGCUUAUCGGCUUGUUGGUGGGGUGGUGGCUUACCAAGGCUUUGACGGGUAGCCGGCCUGAGAGGGUGACCGGCCACAUUGGGACUGAGAUACGGCCCAGACUCCUACGGGAGGCAGCAGUGGGGAAUAUUGCACAAUGGGCGGAAGCCUGAUGCAGCAACGCCGCGUGCGGGAUGACGGCCUUCGGGUUGUAAACCGCUUUCGCCUGUGACGAAGCGUGAGUGACGGUAAUGGGUAAAGAAGCACCGGCUAACUACGUG
rnacentral:rRNA from 1 species